rnacentral:rRNA from 1 species
AGCGGGCAGCUAUACAUGCAGUUGAGCGCUGAAGGUUGGUACUUGUACCGACUGGAUGAGCAGCGAACGGGUGAGUAACGCGUGGGGAAUCUGCCUUUGAGCGGGGGACAACAUUUGGAAACGAAUGCUAAUACCGCAUAAAAACUUUAAACACAAGUUUUAAGUUUGAAAGAUGCAAUUGCAUCACUCAAAGAUGAUCCCGCGUUGUAUUAGCUAGUUGGUGAGGUAAAGGCUCACCAAGGCGAUGAUACAUAGCCGACCUGAGAGGGUGAUCGGCCACAUUGGGACUGAGACACGGCCCAAACUCCUACGGGAGGCAGCAGUAGGGAAUCUUCGGCAAUGGACGAAAGUCUGACCGAGCAACGCCGCGUGAGUGAAGAAGGUUUUCGGAUCGUAAAACUCUGUUGGUAGAGAAGAACGUUGGUGAGAGUGGAAAGCUCAUCAAGUGACGGUAACUACCCAGAAAGGGACGGCUAACUACGUGCCAGCAGCCGCGGUAAUACGUAGGUCCCGAGCGUUGUCCGGAUUUAUUGGGCGUAAAGCGAGCGCAGGUGGUUUAUUAAGUCUGGUGUAAAAGGCAGUGGCUCAACCAUUGUAUGCAUUGGAAACUGGUAGACUUGAGUGCAGGAGAGGAGAGUGGAAUUCCAUGUGUAGCGGUGAAAUGCGUAGAUAUAUGGAGGAACACCGGUGGCGAAAGCGGCUCUCUGGCCUGUAACUGACACUGAGGCUCGAAAGCGUGGGGAGCAAACAGGAUUAGAUACCCUGGUAGUCCACGCCGUAAACGAUGAGUGCUAGAUGUAGGGAGCUAUAAGUUCUCUGUAUCGCAGCUAACGCAAUAAGCACUCCGCCUGGGGAGUACGACCGCAAGGUUGAAACUCAAGAGAAAUAUUGACGGAAAA